UGACAAGCGCCUUUGCGCAGCAAACUACCUUGGUGAACCAGCUCCUUGAGCGUAUCGAGACACAGUGCGCCUCAGACAAGGUGUCUCGAAGCAGGACGAGGGCAAAAGAACGUUACUCAUUCCAGCGACAUCCCAGCAAAGAGCUACUCAGCCUACCACGAAACAAAGAAAACAUAACCUAGACCUUCCAACGAUCACCUCAAGGAUUUCCAAUGAAACAUGACAUGUUAAAAAUCACUACUCCCACAAAUUUUAGCUAUCCUUACCCUCGAGCUCAUACUUAAUUGCAGUCACCACUCACUAGCUCGCAUGUAAUCAAAUAAAACAAUGUUUUGAAUGUAGUAACAUGCCUUAGAGAAUUCCCUCAAUUCCUCACCAGAUAUUCUCUCUAUUUUCACCAGAUUUUCUGACUACACUCCCUAUACUAGGCAUAUAUGAGAAGAUUGAUGUAAACAUGUAGACUAGCACUCACAUAUGUUAUAAUCAAAGAAGGCACUUUCUAGAAUUAUUAAUACAAGUAUGUAUAUGAUCUCAUGAAUGGAAUGCCACUACUUAGAUGCAAGAACCAGAGAUUCUAUAUGCUCGUACCAAUUUCAAACUCCAUAGAUUGAAACACAUGACAAUCAAGAUAAAAGUCUAAGGUUUGUAAUGGGGCUAAGGUAUUAGCUGACAAAGAAUGGUCAAAGAUAAACAAAGGUUCUUAAAGUGAUAGUAAGCAAAGUAAAGAAAUCAACACUUAGAAUUCAACUUUUGAAUGUAGCAACUAACUUUAAACAGAAGGGAAACAUUCUUACAACACUUAGGGUCGAAUUCAAACUUUUGGACCCUUCUUCCACAACCAAUACUAGUGAGUUCAUUCUCACUUAUUUAGAACUCUUUUCCUUUCUUUUCUCAACUUAUUUCAUCUUUUUCACGUUUUUUUUAAUUAUUUUAUUAUUUUUUUUUCGCCCUUCUCUUUGACACACUAAAUGUACAACCUUAUGAUGCGAAAAUUAACUAACACACAAAUUAAACCCUCUUAUUGACAAUUGUAAUAAAGAUGUAAGUAGGGAUCGUUCUGGACCGGGGAUUAGGAGGGAUUGCUAAUCUACUUUAAACUGACUAAAAAAUACAAAAAUAAACUUAAAAACACUUAACUAGACUCUAAUGACUCAAGACAGGCUUAAAAGACUCAAAACAGCUUGAAACAACUAAAUAGACUCAAACUAGACACUAGGAAUGACUUUGGAUGAAAAUUGAUUUUAGCUUGACUCAAAACACUUAAAAACACAAACUAAGACAAAUUCUAACUAAUUUGUCACACUAAAGGGGAUUGGGUUUUGGAUGAAUUUUAAGUAAAAUAAGUAACUAAAGACUUAAGAUAGAUUUUAGCAUGAAAUUGGGAUAAAGUAUGGAUGAUGGGCUAGCUAGAGGGUUCUUCUUCACACAUGACACACUUGCAUACAAAACGAUUUCCAGUUGCUUUUCAAUAAACCAUGAAUCUCAACAUCCUAAAUUAAUUAGGUACGCUUAAAUUAAUCUUUAGAUUUUCCUUUAGUUAUUGGAUUGGAUGACAUCAUUCGACAACCCAAAACAUUCUUCAAAAGUUCCCUACAUGAACAACAUAAUAGAGAUACAAUCAAAGAUCAUUAUGCUUUAUGAAAAUCAUAAGCAUUGACAAAGCAUUUGUAACUAUGAUGAGCAUGAUACUCCUGCUAGGAAUCUACUUAACACAAUUGUGACUAGCAACCUCCAUUACUUAUGAAUACAACUUCAUAACGAUUAGGUGAAACUCCCUUGCAUUCUAGCAUCAAAUUCAUGCAUGCAAACUAAGUAUGCAUCCUUAAUCUACAAACAAGAAUAAGUUAUCAAUCAAACAGUUAAGUAAAUUGCAUUCACGAUUCAUAGAAUCACAACUGGAAGUAAUCAAUUCAUGUUGCAAGUAUAUUCAUGGUUUCGAAAUUCCCCUUAGCUAAAAGGGGUUUAGCUCUUCAUGUUCGCAAAACAAAGAUACAUAAACUUAAACAUUGAAAACACCUAAAAACGUUCCAGCAAUCCAGCUCU
rnacentral:lncRNA from 1 species